rnacentral:misc_RNA from 1 species
CGAAAUGCGAUAAUUAAUGUGAAUUGCAGAAUUCAGUGAAUCAUCGAGUCUUUGAACGCACAUUGCGCCCCCUGGUAUUCCGGGGGGCAUACCUGUCCGAGCGUCAUUGCUGCCCUCAAGCACGGCUUGUGUGUUGGGCUUCCGUCCCUGGCAACGGGGACGGGCCCAAAAGGCAGUGGCGGCACCAUGUCUGGUCCUCGAGCGUAUGGGGCUUUGUCACCCGCUCCCGUAGGUCCAGCUGGCAGCUAGCCUCGCAACCAAUCUUUUUAACCAGGUUGACCUCGGAUCAGGUAGGGAUACCCGCUGAACUUAAGC